UACGUAGGUUGCGAGCGUUGUCCGGAUUUAUUGGGCGUAAAGCGCGCGCAGGCGGUCCUGCAAGUCCACGGUGAAAGCUCCCGGCCCAACUGGGAGAGGCCCGUGGAAACUGCAGGACUUGAAGGCGGGAGAGGCAAAUGGAAUUUCCGGUGUAGCGGUAAAAUGCGUAGAUACCGGAAGGAACACCAGUGGCGAAAGCGAUUUGCUGGCCCGCCCUUGACGCUCAGGCGCGAAAGCUAGGGGAGCGACCGGG
rnacentral:rRNA from 1 species